rnacentral:rRNA from 1 species
UACGUAGGGUGCAAGCGUUAAUCGGAAUUACUGGGCGUAAAGCGUGCGUAGACGGUUUCGUAAGUCGGGUGUGAAAGCCCCGGGCUCAACCUGGGAAUUGCAUUCGAGACUGAAUAGCUAGGGUACGGUAGAGGGAAGCGGAAUUUCCGGUGUAGCGGUGAAAUGCGUAGAUAUCGGAAGGAACAUCAGUGGCGAAAGCGACUUCCUGGACCAGUACCGACGUUCAGGCACGAAAGCGUGGGGAGCAAACAGG